rnacentral:tRNA from 1 species
GGUGGCUCAGUGAUAGAGUACUUGCCUUGUAUGCAGGAUGCCUUGGGUUUGAUUCCUUAGCACCA